rnacentral:lncRNA from 1 species
UUGCUCAUUUCCUUUGUUUUCUCUAAUCCUGACAAGUGAAGGAGUUUCUUUAUAGUGUGUCUAGAGUAUUUUUUAGAGAACAACACAUUAGUGUUAUCAUUGCAAAUUCUUUGGCCUGAAAUUACAUAGAAUAUUUUCAGUAGCUUCACAACAUAAGUCAUCUAUUUUUUAUAGCUCUCCCAAAGAGAAGAAGGCCAUCAACAAACAUUUAGUGUGAAACCAUGUGACCUCUUCUACCUAUUUUCAU